GACGAACGCUGGCGGCGUGCUUAACACAUGCAAGUCGAACGGAAAGGCCUGCUUUCCCUUGUGGAUUGCGGGUACUCGAGUGGCGAACGGGUGAGUAACACGUGAGUGAUCUGCCCCCAACUUGGGUAUAAGCCUGGGAAACUGGGUCUAAUUCCCGAUAGGACUGCAGGGUGGUGCCUGUGGUGGAAAACGAUUUUCUAGUGGUUGGGGAUGAGCUCGCGGCCUAUCAGCUUGUUGGUGGGGUAAUGGCCUACCAAGGCGGCGACGGGUAGCCGGCCUGAGAGGGUGGACGGCCACAUUGGGACGGAGAUACGGCCCAGACUCCUACGGGAGGCAGCAGUGGGGAAUAUUGCACAAUGGGCGGAAGCCUGAUGCAGCGACGCCGCGUGGGGGAUGACGGCCUUCGGGUUGUAAACUCCUUUCGACCGCGAGGAAGCCACCUGGUGGGAAGGGUGGUGACGGUAGUGGUAGAAGAAGCACCGGCUAACUACGU
rnacentral:rRNA from 1 species